rnacentral:rRNA from 1 species
CCGGCGCACGGGUGAGUAACACGUAUCCAACCUGCCGUCUACUCUUGGACAGCCUUCUGAAAGGAAGAUUAAUACAAGAUGGCAUCAUGAGUCCGCAUGUUCACAUGAUUAAAGGUAUUCCGGUAGACGAUGGGGAUGCGUUCCAUUAGAUAGUAGGCGGGUAACGGCCCACCUAGUCUUCGAUGGGUAGGGGUUCUGAGAGGAAGGUCCCCCACAUUGGAACUGAGACACGGUCCAAACUCCUACGGGAGGCAGCAUG